GACGAACGCUGGCGGCGUGCUUAACACAUGCAAGUCGAACGGAAAGGCCCUGCUUGCAGGGUACUCGAGUGGCGAACGGGUGAGUAACACGUGGGUGAUCUGCCCUGCACUUCGGGAUAAGCUUGGGAAACUGGGUCUAAUACCGGAUAGGAGCCAUCUUUAGUGUGGUGGUUGGAAAGUUUUUUCGGUGUAGGAUGAGCUCGCGGCCUAUCAGCUUGUUGGUGGGGUAAUGGCCUACCAAGGCGGCGACGGGUAGCCGGCCUGAGAGGGUGUACGGCCACAGUGGGACUGAGAUACGGCCCAGACUCCUACGGGAGGCAGCAGUGGGGAAUAUUGCACAAUGGGCGCAAGCCUGAUGCAGCGACGCCGCGUGGGGGAUGAAGGCCUUCGGGUUGUAAACUCCUUUCGCUAGGGACGAAGCUUUGUUGUGACGGUACCUAGAUAAGAAGCACCGGCUAACUACGUG
rnacentral:rRNA from 1 species